CUCCACUUAAAGCACAACUAGAGAAGUUAUUGGCAGUGGUUCAUCUGUUCUGUGACUGCUGACAAAUGUUGUUUACCACAGACUGACAGGGCCUACCAUGGUGACGAGAACUGCCCCUGCCCAACUGGGACUCCAUUAACUGCUCCCCAAUUGACAUGAUGGGUGACGUUGCAAGAUCUGUGACAGCCUGUUUCUGACUGCAGUCUGUGUGCAACCGACUGUAGGUGAAUUUUGGCAGAGCUAUAAAUAGCCCUUUGGUGGUUUUCCACUCUGCAGAGGGAGAGUUAUGUCAAGGAGAGGACUGGACACAAGGCCCAAAC